rnacentral:rRNA from 1 species
GAUUAGCGGCGGACGGGUGAGUAACACGUGGGUAACCUGCCUUAUAGUGGGGGAUAGCCUUUCGAAAGGAAGAUUAAUACCGCAUAAGAUUGUAGUAUCGCAUGAUAUAGCAAUUAAAGGAGCAAUCCGCUAUAAGAUGGACCCGCGUCGCAUUAGCUAGUUGGUGAGGUAAUGGCUCACCAAGGCGACGAUGCGUAGCCGACCUGAGAGGGUGAUCGGCCACAUUGGGACUGAGACACGGCCCAGACUCC